rnacentral:rRNA from 1 species
CAGGACGAACGCUGGCGGCGUGCUUAACACAUGCAAGUCGAGCGAUGAAGCUUCUUCGGAAGUGGAUUAGCGGCGGACGGGUGAGUAACACGUGGGCAACCUGCCUCAUAGAGAGGAAUAGCCUUCCGAAAGGGAGAUUAAUACCUCAUAACAUUGCAGUUUCGCAUGGAACAGCAAUUAAAGGAGUAAUCCGCUAUGAGAUGGGCCCGCGGCGCAUUAGCUAGUUGGUGAGGUAACGGCUCACCAAGGCGACGAUGCGUAGCCGACCUGAGAGGGUGAUCGGCCACAUUGGGACUGAGACACGGCCCAGACUCCUACGGGAGGCAGCAGUGGGGAAUAUUGCACAAUGGGGGAAACCCUGAUGCCAGCAACGCCGCGUGAGUGAUGACGGCCUUCGGGUUGUAAAGCUCUGUCUUCAGGGACGAUAAUGACGGUACCUGAGGAGGAAGCCACGGCUAACUACGUGCCAGCCGCGGC